GAUGAACGCUAGCGGCAGGCUUAAUACAUGCAAGUCGAGGGGCAGCAGGUCCCGCAGCAAUGCGGGAUGCUGGCGACCGGCAAACGGGUGCGGAACACGUACAGAACCUUCCUUUAAGUGGGGAAUAGCCCGGGGAAACCCGGAUUAAUACCCCGUAACAUAAUGAAGUGGCAUCACUUUAUUAUUGUAGCAGCAAUGCGCUUGAAGAUGGCUGUGCGGCUGUUUAGGUAGUUGGCGGGGUAACGGCCCACCAAGCCUACGAUCAGUAACUGGUGUGAGAGCACGACCAGUCAAACGGGCACUGAGACACGGGCCCGACUCCUACGGGAGGCAGCAGUAAGGAAUAUUGGGCAAUGGACGCAAGUCUGACCCAGCCAUGCCGCGUGGAGGAUGAAGGUCCUCUGGAUUGUAAACUUCUUUUAUCUGGGAAGAAAUCUAUUUUUUCUAAAGUAGUUGACGGUACCAGAUGAAUAAGCACCGGCUAACUCCGUGCCAGCCGCCGCAGUAA
rnacentral:rRNA from 1 species